UCGGGUGUGGUGCAGGGUGCACAGCAGCAGCACGUUUGGACCACAUCGCUAUAGCGUAAGCUGCAGAAAGGGGUUCGACUCCCCGCACCCGAA